CUACAGUCGACUGAAGACUAAUGUGAGACUGGUUCUAUCUCUCCCUGACUUGGAGCUAGCGAGUAACUGUGGACUCCUGGGAAUGAAGAACCUAUUAUCAGUCAUUGAAGUCUGUUAUGAACUACCUUGGGACAGAAAGAAAUUACUACAUGUGGCAAACUAUCACUUGAAAAAUUGUGUUCUUCCCAAGACCUUGCAGGAGAGCACAGCUCACCUCUUGACUUCCCUUCACAUGUUGCUAAGGAAUACAACAGCAGACACUGAUACCGUUAGCUCAUAUUCAUCCCAUUAUACUGCUAACCCCAUCACUGUCUGUUGCUGCUGGAACAACAAGUUUGAGUUCUUCUCUGAAAGGUAUUGCUUGCUUUUACUCUGCACAUGUACAGUACAUGUUCAUGUUAUUUGCUGUUGAAAUUUUUGACAUGGACUAUAGAUAGGGGUGGGCGAUAUAUCGAAAUUAAUGAUAUUUUAUCGAUAUAAUGCGGUAUCGAUACGUAUCGAUAUCGAAAAAAAUUGAAAAGAAAUAUCGAUACUGUGACCACGCCCACAAAAUGAUUGUAUAACCUUAAUAAUAGUCAAUUAACCACAGUCGCUAAGUAAUGAAGUAUCUCCAAACCGCUCCAAACACUUCUUUUUUGCAAAACAGAGGAAGUAACAGAUGAAGACUAAGUCAAAACAGGUUAAAUGA